rnacentral:lncRNA from 1 species
GACAUGCCGGCAUCAUGACAUGCUGGGUAUCACAAUGUAGUGGGUAUCGCAACAUGCCAGUAUUAUGACACACUGGGUAUUGUGACGCGCUGGUAUCGCGACAUGCUGGGUAUUGCAAUGUGCCGGUAUUGCAACAUGUCGGUAUCAUGACAUGCUGGGUAUCACGAUGAAGUGGGUAUCCUGACAUGCCAGUAUUAUGACACACUGGGUAUUGCGACAAGCCGGUAUCACAGUGUGCUGGCUAUCGCGACAUGCCGGUGUUGCAGUGUGCUGGAUAUUGCGACGUGCCAGUAUCGCGACAUGCUGAUAUCGCGACGUGCUGGGUAUCACGAUGCAGCGGUGGCGCUGGCGCUGGUGACGGUGACGUCGGUGCCGCUGCUGCGGGCUCUGGGUCGCCGCCUGCUCUCCAUGGCCGACACCGGCGCCGCCUUCGAGCCCGGCAGCGUCGUGGCCGCGUUUGUCACCUGCCCCAACCAGGGGGUGGCCACACAGCUGGCCAGGUGGGGACAC